GUGCACGCUGGCGGUAGGCCUAACACCUUCAAGUCGAACGGCAGCACAGUAAGAUCUUGCUCUUCCGGGUGGCGCGUGGCGGUCGGGUGAGGAAUACAUCGGAAUCUACUUUUUCGUGGUGGAUAACGUAGGGAAACUUACUCUAAUACCUCAUACGACCUACGGGUGAAAGCAGGGGCUCUUCGGACCUUUCGCGAUUUAAUUAGCCGAUGUCGGAUUAGCUCGUUGGCGGGGUAAAGGCCCACCACGGCGACGAUACGUAUCUGUUCUUAGAGUAUGAGCAGAGACACUGGAACGGAGACACGGAACAGAGUACGACGGGAGGAAGCAGAGGGGAAUAGUGGACAAUGGGGGAAAGGCGGAUAGAGCAAUACCGCGUGGGAGAAGAAGGCAUUAGGGUUGGAAAGACCUUUUGUUGGGAAAGAAAAGCAGAAGGUUAAUACCACGCUGUUAUGACGGUACCAAAAGAAUAAGCACCGGCUAACUUCGUG
rnacentral:rRNA from 1 species